rnacentral:lncRNA from 11 species
AUAAAUAUCAAAUGAUACAAGGCAACCAGCAAUGAAAGAAGGACAUAAAUUGUUAUUGGAAAGUGCAUAUGAAAAUAUAUAUCAAUUUUAUUUUCAUUAUUUAUUUACAGUACAUUGAUAUCCAGCUGAAAUCAUGGCUAGCACAAAUGACAACUCAAUCUUGCAGUUUUCAACCCUGAAGACAUUUUUGAAAGAAGUUGGCAAAUCAAGUCCUUCAUGCCUGCUUGAAGUCUGCUUUCUCAGUGAUUGCUCUGUGAGAUAAAAACCACCCAUAAGUAUUUGCU